AGGAUAAACGCUGGCGGCGUGCAUGAGACAUGCAAGUCGAACGGACACUUGGGGCUUGCUCCAAGUGUUAGUGGCGGACGGCUGAGUAACGCGUAGGUGACCUGCCCCGAAGUGGGGAAUAACUGCCCGAAAGGGUGGCUAAUACCGCAUGUGGUGGUGUGUUCAUUCACACCAGUAAAGCCGCAAGGCGCUUCGGGAGGGGCCUGCGUCCGAUUAGCUCGUUGGUGGGGUAACGGCUCACCAAGGCGACGAUCGGUAGGUGGUCUGAGAGGACGAUCACCCAGACUGGGACUGAGACACGGCCCAGACUCCUACGGGAGGCAGCAGUCGGGAAUUUUGCGCAAUGGACGAAAGUCUGACGCAGCAACGCCGCGUGAGGGAUGAAGGCCUUCGGGUUGUAAACCUCUUUAUCAGGGAAGAUAAUGACGGUACCUGAUGAAUAAGUCACGGCUAACUACGUGCCAGCAGCCGC
rnacentral:rRNA from 1 species